rnacentral:rRNA from 1 species
UACGUAGGGCGCGAGCGUUGUCCGGAAUUAUUGGGCGUAAAGAGCUCGUAGGCGGCCUGUUGCGUCCGCUGUGAAAUCCCGGGGCUCAACCCCGGGCUUGCGGUCGAUACGGGCAGGCUCGAGUUCGGUAGGGGAGACUGGAAUUCCUGGUGUAGCGGUGAAAUGCGUAGAGAUCGGGAGGAACAUCAGUUGCGAAGGCGGCUCUCUGGACCAGCACUGACACUGAGGCACGAAAGCGUGGGGAGCAAACAGG